rnacentral:rRNA from 1 species
GACGAACGCUGGCGGCGUGCUUAACACAUGCAAGUCGAACGGUAAGGCCCUUCGGGGUACACGAGUGGCGAACGGGUGAGUAACACGUGGGUGAUCUGCCCUGCACUUCGGGAUAAGCCUGGGAAACUGGGUCUAAUACCGGAUAGGACUCCGGACUGCAUGGUCUGGGGUGGAAAGCUUUUGCGGUGUGGGAUGGGUCCGCGGCCUAUCAGCUGGUUGGUGGGGUGAUGGCCUACCAGGGCGACGACGGGUAGCCGGCCUGGGAGGGUGACCGGCCACACGGGGACUGAGAGACGGCCCAGACUCCUACGGGAGGCAGCAGUGGGGAAUAUUGCACAAUGGGCGCAAGCCUGAGGCAGCGACGCCGCGUGAGGGAUGACGGCCUUCGGGUUGUAAACCUCUUUCAGCAUCGACGAAGCGAAAGUGACGGUAGGUGCAGAAGAAGGACCGGCCAACUACGUGCCAGCCGCCGCCGUAA